GGAUAACCUACCCUUUAGGACUGGGAUAACCCUGGGAAACUGGGGCUAAUACCGGAUAGGCAAUUUUUCCUGGAAUGGUUUUUUGUUUAAAUGUUUUUUCGCCUAAGGAUGGGUCUGCGGCCGAUUAGGUAGUUGGUUAGGUAAUGGCUUACCAAGCCGUUGAUCGGUACGGGUUGUGAGAGCAAGAGCCCGGAGAUGGAACCUGAGACAAGGUUCCAGGCCCUACGGGGUGCAGCAGGCGCGAAACCUCCGCAAUGUGAGAAAUCGCGACGGGGGGAUCCCAAGUGCCAUUCUUAACGGGAUGGCUUUUCAUUAGUGUAAAGAGCUUUUGGAAUAAGAGCUGGGCAAGACCGGUGCCAGCCGCCGCGGUAACACCGGCAGCUCUAGUGGUAACAAUUUUUAUUGGGCCUAAAGCGUCCGUAGCCGGUUUAAUAAGUCUCUGGUGAAAUCCUGCAGCUUAACUGUGGGAAUUGCUGGAGAUACUAUUAGACUUGAGACCGGGAGAGGUUAGAGGUACUCCCAGGGUAGAGGUGAAAUUCUGUAAUCCUGGGAGGACCGCCUGUUGCGAAGGCGUCUAACUGGAACGGUUCUGACGGUGAGGGACGAAAGUUAGGGGCGCGAACCGGAUUAGAUACCCGGGUAGUCCUAACUGUAAACGAUGCGGACUUGGUGUUGGGGUGGCUUUGAGCUGCUUCAGUGCCGAAGGGAAGCUGUUAAGUCCGCCGCCUGGGAAGUACGGUCGCAAGACUGAAACUUAA
rnacentral:rRNA from 1 species